UACGAAGGGGGCUAGCGUUGCUCGGAUUGACUGGGCGUAGAGGGCGCGUAGGCGGUUCGUACAGUCAGACGUGAAAUUCCUGGGCUCAACCUGGGGGCUGCGUUUGAUACGUGCGGGCUUGAGUUCGGAAGAGGGUCGUGGAAUUCCCAGUGUAGAGGUGAAAUUCGUAGAUAUUGGGAAGAACACCGGUGGCGAAGGCGGCGACCUGGUCCGAUACUGACGCUGAGGCGCGAAAGCGUGGGGAGCAAACAGG
rnacentral:rRNA from 1 species